rnacentral:sRNA from 1 species
CUUUUUUACUUUUUUUUU